GGGCCGGUAGUUCAGCCUGGAAUGAACGCCCGACUUGCACUCGGGAGGUCGCGGGUUCAAAUCCCGCCCGGUCCACCA
rnacentral:tRNA from 1 species